UACGUAGGGGGCAAGCGUUGUCCGGAUUUACUGGGCGUAAAGAGCGCGCAGGCGGUCGUUCAAGUCGAGUGUGAAAGCCCCCGGCUCAACUGGGGAGGGUCAUUCGAUACUGAUCGACUCGAAGGCAGGAGAGGGAAGCGGAAUUCCGGGUGUAGCGGUGAAAUGCGUAGAUAUCCGGAGGAACACCGGUGGCGAAGGCGGCUUCCUGGACCGACACUGACGCUGAGGCGCGAAAGCUAGGGGAGCAAACGGG
rnacentral:rRNA from 1 species